CAGAAGCCAGGCUCACAGCUGGAGAGUGCAGUGGCAGUGGUGGGAACCUUUCCUGCCUUAGAGCAGCUCUAAGGAGCAGUGAGCCAAGUGACCAAUAAUGUGGAUCAAGCCAAGACAUAACUCAGCUGAUUCUGCCAGGGAAGGAAAAUGCCUAUGCACCAGAGAAGCUGCAGAACCUAGUGUGUUGAUGGCUUCUUGUGAAUGAGAGGAAAUUAUCAAACACAACCCAAUUUCAGCUCUUGGGUUAGAUAUGGCAACUCUACUAGAGCAAAUCAACACAG